ensembl:lncRNA
UUAAAGAGCAAGUCGAAACGAGACAACGACGCGAAACUUGACUUGGUAAGAGUUGGUCGAAAUUGUGAAGCUAAUUCUGAAGCUAUUAGCUAACACUGCUAACGGCCGCCAAAGACAGAAAGAUCUCACAGGUGGUACCGCCAGGUUUUGGUGCAAACCCAAAAGAAUUUUCAAUUGGCCGCACUACACCAUUCCACUGACAAAGAAAAAUAGUCAUCAGCAUUUUAAAGUGAUUUUUUGGAGCAAAUCCAGCAGAAUUUUCAACUGGAAUCACAGUACCAUUCUACUGAUGGGGAAAAACAGUUAUCAGCAUUUUAAAGUGAUGU